AUUAUACAGCGAACUGCGAAUGGCUCAUUAUAUAAGUUAUCGUUUAUUUGAUAGUACCUUACUACUUGGAUAACCGUGGUAAUUCUAGAGCUAAUACAUGCUAAAAAUCCCGACUUCGGAAGGGAUGUAUUUAUUAGAUUAAAAACCAAUGCCCUCUGGGCUCCUUGGUGAUUCAUGAUAACUUCUCGAAUCGCAUGGCCUUGCGCCGGCGAUGGUUCAUUCAAAUUUCUUCCCUAUCAACUUUCGAUGUUUGGGUAGUGGCCAAACAUGGUUGCAACGGGUAACGGAGGGUUAGGGCUCGACCCCGGAGAAGGAGCCUGAGAAACGGCUACUACAUCCAAGGAAGGCAGCAGGCGCGCAAAUUACCCAAUCCCGACACGGGGAGGUAGUGACAAUAAAUACUGAUACAGGGCUCUUUUGGGUCUUGUAAUUGGAAUGAGUACAAUUUAAAUCCCUUAACGAGGAACAAUUGGAGGGCAAGUCUGGUGCCAGCAGCCGCGGUA
rnacentral:rRNA from 1 species